UUCUUUUUUUUCCCCCAAACUAUAUUAAACCAUGUGUCUUUGUCUGUGUUCAUUGGUGCAGUUGACUAUGAGGUCAAGUACCUGGAGCUUGAAAUACUUGGUAAAGGAAGCUUUGGCUCAGUUUAUGCCGGCCAUAGGAGGUCUGAUGAUUUACUAGUGGCGAUAAAACACAUCCCCUAAUCGUCUGUUCCGCCUCAAAGAGUGAUGUUAAAUGGGAGGCCACACAGUAUUCCCAAGGAGGUGCUGCUCAUGCAGAAAGCUGCAGGCGAACCAAUGACUGUGGGUUAAUGGACUGGUACGAUCUGGACCAAGUGUUUAUACUGGUCAUGGAGAGGUCUAUGGAACUGCUGUGCUUCAUAAAGGAGAACUGUGGUCCGAUGGCCGAGGCUGUUGCAAAGGUACUGUUGUUUUAUUCUUUGUGUGAGCUGUUUCUCAGACUACAACUGAAAAGGUCGUCAUUUUAAAUAUCAUCCCUUUCAGUGGAGAGUGUUUGGCUGCUAUCACACCCAUAUUUAAUUUGGGUCCAAUCACAAAUAUGGCGACGCCUGCGAUUUCUGGCAGGCAACUCGAGCUGCGCUGCGCCAAUCAUGUGACAUACAUCAUGUGACAUACAUCAUGUGACAUACAUCAUGUGACAUACCUCAAUCUCCACAGCCAUCUAUAAUACACACCCACCGUAUCAGGUGGUCUAUUUAACCAGAGAGACAUUACCAGUCAACCCCUCUUGAUCGCACUGCUGCUGCAGUAUUGCUACCUGUUGCUUCAGCUCCUCCAUCACCCCAGCAUCCACCUGUAGGCUCCAACGGGGGGUUUCAAGUAUUUGGUCAUCACUCCCAUCAUUCCUGUGUAAUCAUAUGGGGGAGUGAUUAAGUUGGAGC